rnacentral:rRNA from 1 species
GAAAGGUGAAAAGAACCGUGAAUAACGGAGUGAAAUAGACCCUGAAACCAUACGCUUACAAGCGGUCGGAGCAGCAUUAGCUGUGACGGCGUGCCUUUUGCAUAAUGAGCCUACGAGUUACUGUUACCAGCGAGGAUAAGUAUUUCAGAUACGAAUCCGUAGCGAAAGCGAGUCUGAAUAGGGCGGCAAUAGUUGGUAGUAGUAGACGCGAAACCUGGUGAUCUACCCUUGGGCAGGUUGAAGCGCUGGUAACACAGCGUGGAGGACCGAACUGGUUGUCGUUGAAAAGACUUCGGAUGACCUGAGGGUAGGGGUGAAAGGCCAAUCAAACUGGGAAAUAGCUCGUACUCCCCGAAAUGCAUUUAGGUGCAGCGUUGAUGUGAGUUUAAUAGAGGUAGAGCUACUGAUUGGAUGCGGGGGUUUCAUCGCCUACCAAUUCCUGACAAACUCCGAAUGCUAUUAAAUGCUCAUCAGCAGUGAGGGUAUGGGUGCUAAGGUCCAUAUCCGAGAGGGAAAGAACCCGGACCAUCAGCUAAGGUCCCCAAAUAUAUGCUAAGUUGACCAAACGCGGUCUGACUGCACUGACAGCUAGGAUGUUGGCUUGGAAGCAGCCAUACAUUUAAAGAGUGCGUAACAGCUCACUAGUCGAGCGGUUGGGCAUGGAUAAUAAACGGGCAUAAGCAUAUUACCGAAGCUAUGGGGUUAUUACAUAAGUAAUAUACCGGUAGGGGAGCAUUCUAUAGGCGUAGAAGCUAAAGGCGUGAGCCAUAGUGGAGCUGAUAGAAAAGAAAAUGUAGGCAUAAGUAACGAUAAGGCAGGCGAGAAACCUGCCCGCCGAAAGAUCAAGGUUUCCUCAGCUAUGCUAAUCAGCUGAGGGUUAGUCGGGGACUAACGCGAACCCGAGUAGGGGUAGUGGAUGUACAACGGGUUAAUAUUCCCGUACCAUUAAUCUAAUAAAAGUGACGGAAUGAGAUAGCUACCGCGUACAGACGGAAUAGUACGUUUAAGGAGUUGUUAUGACUUCAAAAGUACACCGAGGCUUCGGCUGAAGUGAGAGUGGCGACAACGUUUCCAAGAAAAGCGAAGAUUAAUGCCCGUACCGUAAACCGACACAGGUGAUUGGGAUGAGAAUUCUAAGGCGCUCGAGAGAUUCAUGGCUAAGGAACUAGGCAAAAUAGACCUGUAACUUCGGGAGAAAGGUCGCCUAUCUAGCGAUAGGCCGCAGUGAAAAGGUCCAAGCGACUGUUUAUCAAAAACACAGGACUCUGCAAAAUCGAAAGAUGAGGUAUAGGGUCUGACACCUGCCCGGUGCUGGAAGGUUAAGAGGAGAGCUUAGCGUAAGCGAAGGUUUGAAUUGAAGCCCCAGUAAACGGCGGCCGUAACUAUAACGGUCCUAAGGUAGCGAAAUUCCUUGUCGGGUAAGUUCCGACCUGCACGAAUGGUGUAACGAUUUGGACACUGUCUCGGCCAUGAGCUCGGUGAAAUUGUAGUAUCGGUGAAGAUGCCGAUUACCCGCAGUGGGACGAAAAGACCCUGUGCACCUUUACUAUAUCUUCGUAUUGGUCUUGGAUAAGUGAUGCGUAGGAUAGGUGGGAGACUAAGAAGCGGCUAUUCCGGUAGUUGUGGAGUCAUUGUUGAAAUACCACCCUUUGCUUAUCUGAGGUCUAACUUUGCACAAGGCAAAGGACAAUUCGUGGAGGGUAGUUUGACUGGGGUGGUCGCCUCCAAAAGCGUAACGGAGGCUUCUAAAGGU